ensembl:lncRNA
CUUUGAAUGUAUCCUGAAGUGCAAGGGCUAUUUAACCAGCGUGGCUGCUACGACAUUCUGCAGCGACGUGCCAUUCCCUUUGGUUUGGUCAGUACAUAUCUUGCUAAUACAAAAAUAUUUCUUAGAUAAAGACGUUUGUAGCAGGAACGCAUUAUAUGUGUAACAGAAAUCCACAUUGAAAUAGCAGUGUCCACUUUACAUUUGCACCCACGCCCUCUUUCUUCUGCUUGGGUUCCUUUUUUUCUGGUCAUGUGGUGCUUUGCCGUUUUUAGGCACAGAGCUUCCUGUGUGUGUGUGUGAUCUUGUGGGUGCGCCUGUGUGAAGAGUCAAUUUGCCGCUAACUGGCACCGUCUCGUGGGACAUGUGUGUCACUAUAGCAACAAUUGGAGACAAAAAUCUGAGUGGGAGAGAUAAAGCCGAGAAGAGGAGAUUAGGAAUGGUGUCCAUCUAUUUCUUCUCACUGCUUCUCUGCAGUGAAAAUAACUGGAAUGUUGCACUGAGAUGUAAGGGUUUAUUUUAACAUUUUAUUUUUUUUACACGUUUUUAUACAAAACAUUAGAAUAUAAAAUGUCAGAUUCAGCAAUAGGAAGACAGAUCUAUGGUAUUUUGUAUUUAAUAGUGAGUUCUAUAGAGAAGCCUUGAGAUGGAGCUGGGAGAAGGACAAGCAGAAGUGAAGAUAACAGUUUCAUCGGUGACACAUUUCUGAACAGGUGGGCUGAGUGUUAGAGUGCAGGCGAACAGUAUUUGUCUCCUCAAGGUUAUAAGUCUCUCGCUCUCUGUCUCCAUUAAACAACAUACACAACACACGUCGGCACCACCUGUUUAUUAACACUUUAUUAUUAUGGACAGAGGGGUGACCUGAUUUUAUUUUACUGGCUGCACUUCCUCUGAGUAAAUUAAACGGCUUCUUUUUACAAUUUUUAUUGAGAAUUUUCCGUAUAUUGACUUUAGAAAAAAAGCAUUGCUUUCUGACGUGUGUUUUAGACAUUUUGCCGAGGAAGAUUCUUCUGUGUCUUUAGCUGACGUGAGCAGCUGCAGGUGACUUGUUUGGCACAGCUGCUGCUUAUUUACUAAUUUCAUGACUCUUAAAAUGCAAAAGUGUGCUGGACCAAGAAAAAUGUGACGGCUUGAUUGUUCUUCUGUAGUUUUACGAAAAAAUUAAAAAAAAUUCAGAAAACACAACUUCUAAACCAAUAAAAUGUUUUAGAUGUCAAAGAGUUGGGCAUUUAGAAGACAAGUGUAAAGCAACAAGUACGGCAGGUAAAGAAGUCUUAUUACAGUCACAUAAUCUGACUGGAGAUCACCAGCACGUCCUGUUGGGGCUGCUGCUCCGAGUCAUGACUAAGCAAGCAUUGUUUGAGCACGGAUCUGUGUCUGCAUUUUGUUUAUGAAUAAGGACCGUUGAUGAAACAAAAGCGUCGCUCCGACAUUU